UACGAAGGGGGCUAGCGUUGCUCGGAAUCACUGGGCGUAAAGGGUGCGUAGGCGGGUAUUUAAGUCAGGGGUGAAAUCCUGGAGCUCAACUCCAGAACUGCCUUUGACACUGAGUAUCUUGAGUACGGGAGAGGUGAGUGGAACUGCGAGUGUAGAGGUGAAAUUCGUAGAUAUUCGCAAGAACACCAGUGGCGAAGGCGGCUCACUGGCCCGUUACUGACGCUGAGGCACGAAAGCGUGGGGAGCAAACAGG
rnacentral:rRNA from 1 species